rnacentral:rRNA from 1 species
AUUGAACGCUGGCGGCAGGCUUAACACAUGCAAGUCGAGCGGAGAUGAGGUGCUUGCACCUUAUCUUAGCGGCGGACGGGUGAGUAAUGCUUAGGAAUCUGCCUAUUAGUGGGGGACAACAUUCCGAAAGGAAUGCUAAUACCGCAUACGUCCUACGGGAGAAAGCAGGGGAUCUUCGGACCUUGCGCUAAUAGAUGAGCCUAAGUCGGAUUAGCUAGUUGGUGGGGUAAAGGCCUACCAAGGCGACGAUCUGUAGCGGGUCUGAGAGGAUGAUCCGCCACCCUGGGGCUGAGCGACGGCCCAGACUCCUACGGGAGGCAGCAGUGGGGAAGAUUGGACAAUGGGGGGAACCCUGAUCCAGCCAUGCCGCGUGUGUGAAGAAGGCCUUAUGGUUGUAAAGCACUUUAAGCGAGGAGGAGGCUACUGAGACUAAUACUCUUGGAUAGUGGACGUUACUCGCAGAAUAAGCACCGGCUAACUCUGUGCCAGCCGCCGCAGUAAGAC